rnacentral:rRNA from 1 species
GAUCCUGGCUCAGGAUGAACGCUGACAGAAUGCUUAACACAUGCAAGUCAACUUGAACUUCGGUUUGGGUGGCGGACGGGUGAGUAACGCGUAAAGAACUUGCCUCACAGAUAGGGACAACAUUUGGAAACGAAUGCUAAUACCUGAUAUUAUGAUUAUAUGGCAUCGUAUAAUUAUGAAAGCUAUAUGCGCUGUGAGAGAGCUUUGCGUCCCAUUAGCUAGUUGG